UACGAAGGGUGCAAGCGUUACUCGGAAUUACUGGGCGUAAAGCGUGCGUAGGCGGUUUGUUAAGUCCGUUGUGAAAGCCCUGGGCUCAACCUGGGAAUUGCAGUGGAUACUGGCGAGCUAGAGUGCGGUAGAGGAUGGUGGAAUUCCCGGUGUAGCGGUGAAAUGCGUAGAGAUGUGGAGGAACACCAGUGGCGAAGGCGACUCUUUGGCCUGUAACUGACACUGAGGCGCGAAAGCGUGGGGAGCAAACAGG
rnacentral:rRNA from 1 species